rnacentral:rRNA from 1 species
ACGGGGUGCAGCAGGCGCGAAAACUUUGCAAUGUGCGAAAGCACGACAAGGUUAAUCCGAGUGGUUUCUGCUAAAGGAACCUUUUGUUAGUCCUAGAAACACUGACGAAUAAGGGGUGGGCAAGUUCUGGUGUCAGCCGCCGCGGUAAAACCAGCACCUCAAGUGGUCAGGAUGAUUAUUGGGCCUAAAGCAUCCGUAGCCGGCUCUGUAAGUUUUCGGUUAAAUCUGUACGCUCAACGUACAGGCUGCCGGGAAUACUGCAGAGCUAGGGAGUGGGAGAGGUAGACGGUACUCGGGAGGAAGUGGUAAAAUGCUUUGAUCUCUCGAUGACCACCUGUGGCGAAGGCGGUCUACCAGAACACGUCCGACGGUGAGGGAUGAAAGCUGGGGGAGCAAACCGGAUUAGAUACCCGGGUAGUCCCAGCUGUAAACUAUGCAAACUCAGUGAUGCAUUGGCUUGUGGCCAAUGCAGUAUUGCAGGGAAGCCGUUAAGUUUGCCGCCUGGAAGUACGUACGCAAGU